rnacentral:rRNA from 1 species
AGGACGAACGCUGGCGGCGUGCCUAACACAUGCAAGUCGAGCGAGGAGAUCCUUCGGGAUGAUCCUAGCGGCGGACGGGUGAGUAACACGUGGGCAACCUGCCUCAUAGAGAGGAAUAGCCUUCCGAAAGGGAGAUUAAUACCUCAUAACAUUGCAGUUUCGCAUGGAACAGCAAUUAAAGGAGUAAUCCGCUAUGAGAUGGGCCCGCGGCGCAUUAGCUAGUUGGUGAGGUAACGGCUCACCAAGGCGACGAUGCGUGGCCGACCUGAGAGGGUGAUCGGCCACAUUGGGACUGAGACACGGCCCAGACUCCUACGGGAGGCAGCAGUGGGGAAUAUUGCACAAUGGGGGAAACCCUGAUGCAGCCAACGCCGCGUGAGUGAUGACGGCCUUCGGGUUGUAAAGCUCUGUCUUCAGGGACGAUAAUGACGGUACCUGAGGAGGAAGCCACGGCUAACUACGUGCCAGCAGCAGC